UCUCCUGUAGCUCAGUGGUAGAGCGUCCGAUCGGUGUACGGAAGGUUAUAGGGUUCGACUCAUGUUGUAAGAA